AUAAUUAAAGCAAUAUUAUUAUUAUAAAAUUCUAACAUCUUGUCAAAGAUGAUAUCAUUGAAUCUCUAUGUUUUAUUACUAUCUACAUUCCCGCCAAAUAAUAGGUUAUCAUGAUAGGACGCGUAAGAUAAGUACAUGUCAUAUUACCCUUACCAAAAACUAAUCUAGCUAUUUCCGAAGAAAUGUUCAAACAAAACGUAUCACAGCAUAGUAUACAGACACUUUGAAACAAUAUUAUAAUACAAAUCUUGAAGGAUGUUGAAUGGAGUAUCUUUUACGCGAAGCAAUGUUACCACCAUUGAAACUAUUUAUAUUUUCCUCCAUAUCAGUGAAAGUGGAAGGAACUUUUUAUAAAUUUAAUCAUUUCGUAAGUUCAACAGGAUCACUCCUUAUUAUUUAAGACAAGAGUAAUCAUUCUGCAUUAUUUAGUAAGAACCUGUAUGU